AGAUAACCAAAGUUCUCCUUGAAGAAUACCCAAAACUGCGACAGUUACGUGGUGGCUGGCUUCUUCAAAAAGCCACUGGUGGGAGUGGCCAAAGGAAAACCACUCCGCUACCCCAGUCCUCAAUGGGUUACACAUCAAAAAUACUGAAGUCCUCCUCCAACAAUGGGAAGAAUACCAUCUAUAUCGUCCCAUUACAAGAAAAGAUAGACACUGUCCCUUUACCAUACAAUGCACCAGAAUUCGAGAAUAUGCCAAAAAAUGACUGCAUGACCUGCGGUGAAUCAGUUCCACUGCAGCUGCUACCUUUUCACCUUGAGUCUUGUCAGUGUGAUGAUAAUGUGGAACCUGUAGUGAUAGCGGAAAAUGACCAGGAGGAAGAUAUCAUUUGUAUGGUAAGCAAUCAUUUAGACAGAAAUUGACAAAAGUCAGAAACUACUAUGAAGGUAUCCAAAAUUUGUCACAGAUACGUAGAAGGUGGAUUUCACUGAUUGGAGACCUUGUGAUGUAAACAUUAUUUUAACCUCAAGAAAUCUGUCAUUUCAGUGUCACUUAAUG